UGGUCGUCCCCUCACUCUCAAGGGAAGUGCGUGCAGCUAAGUGAGCUCUGCUGCUACCACUCUCACUGGGUGCGGGUGGGGGUGAAGGUGGGGGACUCAGCCCUAAACCUAGUCCAUACAUACACUUCCUCUUUUAUUCACUUCUCUGUUGAUACUGUUACUAAAACCUUUUUCUUUUUGCCUUCUGCUAAUCAUUUUUCAACUAUCAAUCGUCUUUUUCUAAAGCAAAGAUGUGCCAUUGUCUCAGCCAAUUCUCAACCGUUAAUGAGGUGUUAAAACGAAGAACCGGGGAAAGUUUGUGAUAUAAUCCAUUGAAUUAGAGGCAAAAUUAUAUAAAUAUAAUAUAACAUAAAUAAAACACUGUUUAUAUAUAUAUAUAUAUAUAUAUAUAUAAAUAGAUGCUGUAUUUCUGAUUCUUUUGUUACGGAUUAUGAAUCUCACAAUACCAAAAACUUUACAAUAUUUAUGACAUUAAAUGCCAUAAAGAAAAAAAUUCUGUACACUAAUAUUUACAUAUUGUACAAUUCAAAAUCAUGACUGGCAGGAAAAUCAUGGAUGCAUAUAUAUAUAUAUGUAAAUAUACAAAUACAGGGAGAUAUAUCAAUUUUAAAUUUUAAUAAAAACAUAAUGACUAUUAUUGUAAAAUGUUUACAAUAAAAGUAUGUUUACUAAUUCAAAUUACUGAAAAAAAGAAUUUGCAUUUUUCAGAUUUUAAAAAUUUGUGAUUUUUAAGUCAGUACGCACUGCUUAAAUUGAAACAAGCUAUCAUAAGCUCAACAUCAAAAGAAAACACAGGUAAAUAGAAUCUGUAUCCCAAUAGCAUAAAAUUAAACAUGAAUUGUCAAGCCCUCUUUGACAAUCUCAUUUAUGUUCAUUAUAUGUGCUAGAGUGAUGCACAUUGCUUUUGCUUUAUGUUUUGUUUUGCAAUGAAGUUCACAAGAUAUUACAUAUUUUAUUCAUUUGGAAUAACCAAGAUGAUAUCAUCAAAAACGCUACAGAGCUAAUUUUGCCACCUCAUACAACUCUACAUGCAC
rnacentral:lncRNA from 1 species